rnacentral:lncRNA from 1 species
AAAGAAUCCUUCUGAUGAUUUGACCAGGUAAAUUGUGGACCAUUGAACACAUGAUCAGUUAAGCACUCCUGAAAAUCCCUCAUAUCAGCUCUCUUGAGGAUGGGCAAUUACCAACACUUUCCUUAACAUCUUCCAAAUGCUCCCAAAGUCUUUUUCUUUCACCCCUAAUGUUACUUCCAUGAACUGCAGCAAAAAAGAUAUCCAGGCCAUUUAGAUUAACACAGCUAGACAAACACUGACCAGUAGAAGAAACUUUGAAAAUCUAUAAACUUUCUCUCCACAAAACCUAAAUUCUUCCAUCUACAGCUUCACUGUAGUUGUAAAACCCCUUCCAACCAUGAAAAGUACACCCCAUUACUUGCUGCAUUUUAUCUACUUUCACUCUAGUUUCAAAUAAGCAAACUACAUCAAUCCUCCACUGCCUAAUCCUAUCAAAAAUAAAUUUCUGCUUUGUAGGGUCUAACAUUCCAAAAAAGAAUUUUCAUCGGACAGAGUUAAGAGUCAAACCUCCAUUGGUAGGUAGAAUUAACAUACUCCUACUGCUUUCAAUUUUCCCCUUCUUCUUAGUUUUCAUGGCCUUCAUCAAAGUAACUAUUCCCAUAGAAGCAGCUCUUGGCUUUCUUGGAGACGAAGCGGAGCAUUCACCAUAUUUGAAUAAGAAUCAUUUUCUACAUUAGAAGUCGCACUAGUUGAGGGCAAUCCAACAUCCUCCAUAGAGCUUAG